UUUUUUUAAUCUGUUGUUUACUUCCUUGCCAACUUCUCUGAACUGAAAUGCUCACUCUCAAGUAAUACAGACCUUAUUUCACUAGUCACCAGCAGGUCCACAGAAGAAAUUAAAACUUUUCAGACCCAGAUAGCACAAGAGUAUUCUUUUUCUAUUUGCCGAGAUAAAAUUCCAACUUUUGGAUUGAGAUCAUACUGUAAAAUGGCACAACCAUCAGACGAAGUGGGAGGAAGAAACAUUAACUUCAACAGCUGUUUCUUGACCCCGGCUGUCAGUCUUCCCAAGAAUAAAUUUUGGAGAGUCCUA
ensembl:lncRNA